GACGAACGCUGGCGGCGUGCCUAAUACAUGCAAGUAGAACGCUGAAGAGAGGAGCUUGCUCUUCUUGGAUGAGUUGCGAACGGGUGAGUAACGCGUAGGUAACCUGCCUUGUAGCGGGGGAUAACUAUUGGAAACGAUAGCUAAUACCGCAUAACAAUGGAUGACCCAUGUCAUUUAUUUGAAAGGGGCAAAUGCUCCACUACAAGAUGGACCUGCGUUGUAUUAGCUAGUAGGUGAGGUAACGGCUCACCUAGGCGACGAUACAUAGCCGACCUGAGAGGGUGAUCGGCCACACUGGGACUGAGACACGGCCCAGACUCCUACGGGAGGCAGCAGUAGGGAAUCUUCGGCAAUGGGGGCAACCCUGACCGAGCAACGCCGCGUGAGUGAAGAAGGUUUUCGGAUCGUAAAGCUCUGUUGUAAGUCAAGAACGAGUGUGAGAGUGGAAAGUUCACACUGUGACGGUAGCUUACCAGAAAGGGACGGCUAACUACGC
rnacentral:rRNA from 1 species